rnacentral:tRNA from 1 species
GCCCUUAUAGCUCAGGGGUAGAGCGCUGCACUCGUAAUGCAGAGGUCCUUAGUUCAAAUCUGAGUGGGGGCA